UGGAUGUCGUCGAUGGUGGCUUCGAUGAUGGUAAAUUUUGAGCCGUGGAUUGCGUUGACGAGGCCGGAGAAAACUAACAGAGGGAUCAACGGUGAGGAGAGGAGAGAAAGUAGUGGACGACGAUGGACACGCAUUUCUUCGAACUUGGAAAUGUAAAGGAUCAGAUGAGAUACGUAUCUGAUUUCUGGAGAAGACGGAAUGGCAGGCAGCAUGCGAGUGGCUCAAGCUCGUCUUUGACUGUGGAUCACUGCUUUGGAAAGAAGAUUGGGAGUAGUGGAGUAGACCACAUGGCAAAGUCAAGCAAGUAACGUAGUGAUCAUACUGUAUACUUCUGAUCUGUAUUCGUGUUUAGGUUCCUUUGGAUCUGAUCGUACUGGCUGAAUGAAAAAUGUAAGGCUGCGUAUAUUGAGGUUGA